UACAGAGGUCCCAAGCGUUGUUCGGAUUCACUGGGCGUAAAGGGUGCGUAGGCGGUCGGGUAAGUCUGAUGUGAAAUCUCACAGCUUAACUGUGAAACUGCAUUGGAUACUAUCCGGCUCGAGGAAUGGAGGGGAGACUGGAAUACUUGGUGUAGCAGUGAAAUGCGUAGAUAUCUGGAGGAACACCGGUGGCGAAGGCGGCAUCCUGGACCAACACUGACGCUGAGGAGCGAAAGCCAGGGGAGCAAACGGG
rnacentral:rRNA from 1 species